UGGGGAUGACAGAGCAAGAGCUGGAAACAAACAUCAGUGAAGAAUGAAGGCUUUAGUAUGUAUACUGCUGCUGUUGGAAACCUUUGUGUUUGUCGUUCAGCAGCAGGUAGAUGGAGGACUCAAUGAGACUGAGAUCAGUCAACAGAUCAGCUCUGAGGACGGAAGACAGAAUCCACCUCAAACAGACACUUUGAGAGCUGAAGCUUCAACUGACAGCCAACAAAACUCCUUCCUGGGCUUCCCUGACAUCCAUGCAGCACUGAGAGAACUGACCGCCACCGUUACAGAGCAGAAAGCAAACAUCAGAGCUCUAGAGACGCGACUGAGGGAUGCUGAGAAAGCUGCAGAACAGCAGACGUUUAUCCUGAAAGAGCUGAACAAGAAAAACGAUGACAGAGAAAUAGCUUUUUCAGCUUCACUGAUGCAAUCUGGCAGUGGAUAUAUUGGUCCUUCUACCCAUAGCAUCAGACUAACCUACAGGAACGUCUUCACAAACAUAGGGAAUGCCUACAACCCAGUUACAGGUAUUUUCACAGCCCCUGUGAAAGGAGCAUAUGUGUUCACAAUCUCUGUCUAUGCUCACGGUAAUCAGCCAUAUCCAGCAAAUGUCAGCAUUAUGAAGAAUAAUCAGCGGGUGCUUGUUGCACAUGCUCAGCAGUCUCAGGGUGCGUUAAACUCCUCCAAAGGAGUUGUGUUGCUCCUGGAGGUUGGAGAUGUCGUCUAUGUGAGUCAUUGGUCUAGCAGCAGGAUUGAGGAUAACAAUAAUAAUCACAACACUUUCAGUGGUUACAUACUGUUUGCCUUAAGAUAACAGGACAGGAGCUGUGAUUCCAAUCAUUUGGAACCUUUAGCGUAUGAUUUAAGAUGAAAAUCGUCAAGACUUAUAAAUGAGAAAUAAUGUUUUAGAAAUUUGCAAUAGAUUACUGUAUGAAAGUCAGUAUAAUAGACUAUACUCAUAAGCUCUGAGCUGUCUAUUCUUGUAACUUUGUAUAAAGAGUUUCAGCACUGAGACAGACGGGACCCAUGAAUAUCAUAUGAUGCAAAAGUGUUAUGUUAAAUUAGAAAGUCUAGAAUGUUAAUAGAUGUGAUAACUGAAAAUUUGAUGUUGAUAAAACUGCAUUUACUUGUCUGAAAUUAUCCAUGUUUAAUCAGAUUUAUUGUAAACUGUCUACAUUUUGAAAAUAAAUUGAUGCUUCAAAUUAAGAUUGUA